AGAUAUUUCCACAUCUCUAACAAAGGGUUAUACAGUUAUUUUGCACCAUUGAUGCUAAACCAAAGCAACAGAUUCUAAGCAAAUUGUAUUCUCAAGAGUCCAUAAUCAAAUACAUGCUGCUUCCUAACUAUUCUGGAGGACAUAUCACCAUAUCACUAAUUUAAAUGAAAUAAACACGAGAGCAAGACCAUUUUAACAAGGGAAAUGAAUAGGAUUUAGGCAAAAAUUUGCUUCUUGCCAUCUUCAAAUUUGAUUUCACAUUGCGAAAAUCCCACAGCAUGAUUAUAACCAUCCAGGCAGAUGUAAUAUCAAACAAGCCAUCAGUAGAAAUCAACAUCAACCACACAACCCAUAUUUAGUGAAUGAAACCAGGAGAUUGACUCAAAAACCCAAUGAAACAGUAGACUUAACAGCUUAAAACCCAGAGAAUGUAAUCUAAACACUUAUUAUCAACUUCAAAAAAUCAGAGCACCAUAAUACAAGAUCAUCAUCUUUCUUUCAAACCAUUUUAAAUCUUGGACAGAAUGGAAAAUUUCAAAUUGAUUCAGAAAUUAAAAAAAAAACUUUUAAAGUUUAGACCUCAAAUUCCAUAGAAUAACAGUAAUACUGACUUCUACUUCUCUUUUUC
rnacentral:lncRNA from 1 species